CUGGUCACGAGAGAAGGCAGCACCACAGUAAUCACCUCUCUAGAAGAUGGCCUCCGGAAACUGAAGUCGUGGGGAAUCUUGGACAACUAACAACAAGACAACCCCAUCACCAGUGCCUCACCUCCGGGGAGAUUGAGGCUGGAAUGGAGUGAAACACAGAGGAAGAAGAACUGACAGCAAACAUACUGCAAGUAUACAUACACUCCAG